UACGUAGGAUGCAAGCGUUGUCCGGAUUUACUGGGCGUAAAGCGCACGCAGGCGGUCUGCUAAGUUUGGAGUGACAGUUGGUGGCUUAACUGCCAAAGUGCUUCGAAAACUGACAGACUUGAGGGCUUCAGAGGGACACGGAAUUCCGGGUGGAGUGGUGAAAUGCGUAGAGAUCCGGAGGAACACCAAAGGCGAAGGCAGUGUCCUGGGGAGUACCUGACGCUCAGGUGCGAAAGCCAGGGGAGCGAACGGG
rnacentral:rRNA from 1 species